rnacentral:rRNA from 1 species
GACGAACGCUGGCGGCGUGCUUAACACAUGCAAGUCGAGCGGAAAGGCCCUGCUUUUGUGGGGUGCUCGAGUGGCGAACGGGUGAGUAACACGUGAGUAACCUGCCCUUGACUUUGGGAUAACUUCAGGAAACUGGGGCUAAUACCGGAUAGGAGCUCCUGCUGCAUGGUGGGGGUUGGAAAGUUUCGGCGGUUGGGGAUGGACUCGCGGCUUAUCAGCUUGUUGGUGGGGAAGUGGCUUACCAAGGCUUUGACGGGUAGCCGGCCUGAGAGGGUGACCGGCCACAUUGGGACUGAGAUACGGCCCAGACUCCUACGGGAGGCAGCAGUGGGGAAUAUUGCACAAUGGGCGGAAGCCUGAUGCAGCAACGCCGCGUGCGGGAUGACGGCCUUCGGGUUGUAAACCGCUUUCGCCUGUGACGAAGCGUGAGUGACGGUAAUGGGUAAAGAAGCACCGGCUAACUACGUG